rnacentral:rRNA from 1 species
AUUGCAAGACAUACAGGUCGAGCAAGGAUGAAAAUCGGACUUAGGGAUCCGGUGGUUCUGCGUGGAAGGGCCAUCGCUCAACGGAUAAAAGCUACCCUGGGGAUAACAGGCUUAUCUCCCCCAAGAGGCCACAUCGACGGGGAGGUUUGGAACCUCGAUGUCGGCUCAUCACAUCCUGGGGCUGUAGUAGGUCCCAAGGGUUGGGCUGUUCGCCCAUUAAAGUGGUACGCGAGCUGGGUUCAGAACGUCGUGAGA